rnacentral:misc_RNA from 13 species
CAUUGACUAUAAUUGUGGUGUUGGUAUCGGUGGUGAUGGGAAUAUCGGCUAAACCGAUUGACCGAUAUUCCCAUCACCACCGAUACCAACACCACAAUUAUAA